UAAUGAGGGAAGGAAAAGAAACUAACAAGGAUUUUCUUAGUAGCGGCGAGCGAAAAGAAAAAAGUUCAGCACUAAGUUAUUUUAUUAUAUUAAUAAAUAUAAGAUGCAGUGUAUGAAAUAUCUAUAAUCUAGUAUGAUAAAUUAAUAGCCCAAGUCCUUCUUAAAUGAGGCCAUUUACCCAUAGAGGGUGCUAGGCCCGUAGGACAUUAAUGAUUACUAGAAGAUAUUUUCUAAGAGUCGUGUUGCUUGAUAGUGCAGCACUAAUUUGGUGGUAAACUCCAUCUAAAACUAAAUAUAACCAUGAGACCGAUAGUAAACAAGUACCGUGAGGGAAAGUUGAAAAGAACUCUGAAUAGAGAGUUAAAUAGUACGUGAAACUGCUUAGAGGUUAAGCCCGAUGAACCUAAAUAUCCAAUAUGAAAAAUUCAUCACUAAUAAUAUAUUAAAUAAUUUAAUAUAUAAAUAGUGUGCAAUUUUUUCAUAUAAGGACAUUGUAAUCUGUUAACAUAAUAUAAAAUUUAUUAUAAGUAUCAUUAAAAUAGUUUUUUUAUUAUUUAAUUAUUUAUAAUUGAAUAUAAAGAAGUUAAUGAUUACAAAUAAAUUGUUAACAGAUUUUUUAUAUAUAACGCUUACAUUUAUUAUAAUGUUAUAAUAAAAUAAUAAUAUAUUAUUAUUUUUAUUAUAUGCGUUUAUAUGAUUAACAAUGCGAUAGAUUUGGGAUACCUUCGGGACCCGUCUUGAAACACGGACCAAGAAGUCUAACAUGUGUGCAAGUCAUUGGGUUUUAUAAAAACCUAAAGGCGUAAUUAACUUAACUAAUUAAUUAUGGGAUUAUUAUAUAAGUUCAUAUACUGAAAUUAUAUAAUCCAUCCCGGGGCGUUCUAUAUAGUUAUGCAUUUUAAUAUAUUUUAUAUUAUAUAUGCCUCUAACUAGAGCGUACCUUGAGCAUAUAUGUUGUGACCCGAAAGAUGGUGAACUAUACCUGAUCAGGUUGAAGUCAGGGGAAACCCUGAUGGAAGACCGAAACAGUUCUGACGUGCAAAUCGAUUGUCAGAAUUGGGUAUAGGGGCGAAAGACCAAUCGAACCAUCUAGUAGCUGGUUCCCUCCGAAGUUUCCCUCAGGAUAGCUGGUGCAUUUAAAUGUUAUAUAAAAUAAUCUUAUCUGGUAAAGCGAAUGAUUAGAGGCAUUAGGGCCGAAACGACCUUAACCUAUUCUCAAACUUUAAAUGGGUAAGUACCUCACCUUUCUUGAUAUGAAGGUUGAGGUUGUGAUAUAUUGUGCCCAGUGGGCCACUUUUGGUAAGCAGAACUGGCGCUGUGGGAUGAACCAAACGUAAUGUUACGGUGCCCAAAUUAAUAACUCAUACUGAUACCAUGAAAGGCGUUGCUUGCUUAAAACAGCAGGACGGUGGACAUGGAAGUCGUAAUCCGCUAAGGAGUGUGUAACAACUCACCUGCCGAAGCAACUAGCCCUUAAAAUGGAUGGCGCUCAAGUUGUAUACCUAUACAUUACCGCUAAAGCAUAUGAUUUAUAUUAAUUUAUAAAUUUUGAAGCUUUAGUGAGUAGGAGGGUACAAUGGUGUGCGUAGAAGUGUUUGGCGUAAGCCUGCAUGGAGCCGCCAUUGGCACAGAUCUUGGUGGUAGUAGCAAAUAAUCGAAUGAGACCUUGGAGGACUGAAGUGGAGAAGGGUUUCGUGUGAACAGUGGUUGAUCACGAGUUAGUCGGUCCUAAGUUUAAGGCGAAAGCCGAAAAUUUUUAAGUUUUAUUAUAAAAUAAUAUUUAUUAUAUUACUCUUAAAAAUUUUUGAACGAAAGGGAAUACGGUUCCAAUUCCGUAACCUGUUAAGUAUACGUUUGUUAUUAAAUGUGGGCUCUUAUGCUCAUCCUGGUAACAGAAACAACCAUAAAGAAGCCGUCGAGAGAUAUCGAAAGAGUUUUCUUUUCUGUUUUAUAGUCGUACUACCAUGGAAAUCUUUCGAAGAGAGAUAUGGUAGAUGGACUAGAAGAGCAUGGCAUUUACUGCUGUGUCGAUAUUUUCUCCUCGGACCUUGAAAAUUUAUGGUAGGGUCACGCAAACUUCUUAACAGGCCGUACCGAUAUCCGCAG
rnacentral:rRNA from 1 species